rnacentral:rRNA from 1 species
AUAAAGUGGAUUAGCGGCGGACGGGUGAGUAACACGUGAGUAACCUGCCUUAGACAUUGGGAUAGCCUCGGGAAACCGGGAUUAAUACCAAAUAAAAUCAUAAUGACACAUGUCAUAACGAUCAAAACUCCGGUGGUCUAAGAUGGACUCGCGUCCCAUUAGCUAGUUGGUAGAGUAAAAGCCUACAAAGGCGACGAUGGGUAGCCGGCCUGAGAGGGUGAACGGCCACAUUGGAACUGAGAAACGGUCCAA